CGUACAACUCUUUUUUAUAGUUU
rnacentral:snRNA from 1 species